rnacentral:tRNA from 1 species
UGGCUGAGUUGGUAGAGCAUGGUGUUUGCAAUGCCAGGGUUGUGGGUUCGAUUCCCAU